AGGGGGAAAGCAGAAAUGCGCUGAAAGAGGAGCCCGCGGCCGAUUAGCUAGUUGGUGGGGUAAGAGCCUACCAAGGCAGAGAUCGGUAGCCGGCCUGAGAGGGCACACGGCCACACUGGCACUGAAACACGGGCCAGACUCCUACGGGAGGCAGCAGUGGGGAAUCUUGCACAAUGGGGGAAACCCUGAUGCAGCGACGCCGCGUGAGCGAUGAAGCCCUUCGGGGUGUAAAGCUCUUUCGGCAGGGAAGAUAGUGACGGUACCUGCAGAAGCAGCUGCGGCUAACUACGUGCCAGCAGCCGCGGUAAUACGUAGGCAGCAAGCGUUGUUCGGAGUUACUGGGCGUAAAGGGUGUGUAGGCGGUUCUUUAAGUUUGGUGUGAAAUCUCCCGGCUUAACCGGGAGGGUGCGCCGAAUACUGAGGGACUAGAGUACGGGAGAGGAAAGUGGAAUUCCUGGUGUAGCGGUGAAAUGCGUAGAUAUCAGGAGGAACACCGGUGGUGUAGACGGCUUUCUGGACCGUAACUGACGCUGAGACACGAAAGCGUGGGUAGCAAACAGGAUUAGAUACCCUGGUAGUCCACGCCCUAAACGAUGCAUAUUUGGUGUGGGCAGUUCAUUCUGUCCGUGCCGGAGCUAACGCGUUAAAUAUGCCGCCUGGGGAGUACAGUCGCAAGGCUGAAACUCAAAGGAAUUGACGG
rnacentral:rRNA from 1 species